CACAGUGGUUGGUGCUGCAGCUGGCUGGCUUCAGGCUAGGUCAUGUAUGGCAGCACUGCAGCAUGGCAGUGGCUGCUCUAGGAGCCUUACCAACCACUCUGUAGAGAAACCCAGAGUUGUUUGAGAAAAGGAGGAAAAAGUGUUAGUUUUAUAUUGUAACUUAAUGUUUGGUACCACCAAAAUCAAUGGAGAGAUUGGAUAAUCUGACCCCAGUUUAUUUCCCUUUUGCUACAUUGUGUAAAGAAUGAGUACAGGACACACUUCAAGAGUACAUCUGUUGUUUGUUUUGGUGUUUUUUAAUCUGGUAAAUAAUGAAAUUUUUCUGGAUUGCGCUUCCAUUUUAUUUAGCUGAAAAAUUCAAACAACCAUUCAACAGAAGAAUUUCUUCAUGUUUUAUUACUUUUUUUCCCUUGGCUUGGAAAAGUUGUAUGGAUCCUUCUUUCAAUACAUAGCUGAUGGAUUGUAGAAUUUCACUGAACUUGCUACAUACACAGGCAGUCCAGGAAGUUAAGAGGAAUUGGGUUAAAACAACAGACAAGCAGAUGCAUGAACUUCAACUUCUAUAAAAAAUGUAAACAAAGCAAAGGGUAUACAAAGGAUGCCAAAGAAGACACACUGGAGCUCCGAUUUGAGUACAAUGACUCAGGCACAUGAAACUGGAUCAUUCUGUACACAAAACAGUAGCUGCAUGAAGAAAAUUGUAUCAGAACAGAUGAUGAAGGCAGCCAAAGGCCAAGAAAUGGUGAGCAGUUUUUCCCCGCUUCACUUGCUUGCUUCAUCUGCUGCCAUGUUAGACCAAAUGAGAUCCGUGACAUUCACAUGGAGAAAAUUUUUUAUUUUAAAAAGAAGUGUUAAUAAACUAAAAGUCUGAUUUGUAGCUAAAAUACUUCUAUCUUUUGUGUGGGCCUUUCGGGAUGGAAGUAUGUUUAGAUAUUUGAAAUUUAAAAAAUAAUUUCCAGCAUUAGAAAUGUCUUUAUUUAACCUUGUGAUAUCUAAAGACUUUGUCUACCAACUGAAAAUGUCUGAAGAGGAAAAAAGAAAGGACCGUGUUUAAUCUUCUAGGCCCAUGCUGAUUAGAGUGAGCAGCGAGGCAAUGCAUGUUAUUUCAUAGCUUUAAACUGUAACUGAUGCAGAAGAAAAGACCAAUUUUAAUCUUGGGAAAGAUUGGAUCUCUUUAUUUCUAAAUUUAUUUGUAACGGAAGCAAACUUUUAAUUAUGAAGAUUAGCAUUCACUAUGUAACUAAUCAGCUGUGGAUAGUAGCUUGUACUAAAACAGAGAAUUAUGAGAGAAGGGCCACUCUGCCAGUUCAUUUCUUAUACUGUUGCUGCUGGGUAUAACUCAAUACUGAUUUGCUCAGCAGUACUUAGAAGAGCAUUUCAGCUUAUUCUCAAUUUGCAUUCGUCAAUCUGUUCUGGAGAUCAAGAUGCCUGAAUAGAUGAAAACCAGUAAGAAAUACAGCAUCCAAAAAAAAGAUAUUAGUGAGUGAGAAGUUGAGUCCAAAAUGUAAAUACAGUGUGUUCUUGCUUGUGUUGUUUAGCCCAACCACUGUUUUUCUGGUUAGGUAAACUUCUAAAAAAUUUAGUAAGAACUUCUUCAGGUAGGAAAAGGAGGAAAAGUUAAA